rnacentral:lncRNA from 1 species
UUUAACCCUACCAACUAUAUAAACAUGCACAACUCAUUUCCCGUUUCAAUCAACAUCUAACAAUCCAACCUUCUCUGGUACAAAGAAAACACCUUAAACUUCUCAUAUAAAGAAACAAAAAUGGUAUUCAACACGAAGCUUCUUUUGGCCAUCUGCUGCGUUGCAUUAGUCUUCACUCUUGUCUCUGCAAAUAUUUCCCAAGCAGAGAUCGAUGGCUUCCUCGAGGAGCACAACAAGGCUCGUAAAGAGGUCGGCAACAAACCCCUUAAGUGGAACACAACCUUGGCCCAGUAUGCCCAAGAAUAUGCCAACAAAAGAGUUGACGACUGCGCUAUGGAGCACUCAAGGGGGCGUUGGGGUGAGAACUUGACAUCGGGCGACGGCAUGACCGGCGCAGCUGGCACUAUCGUGCUACGGCGGAGUUGACAAUAUCGUGCUACGGCGGAGUUG